CCUACGGGCGGCAGCAGUGGGGGAUAUUGCACAAUGGGGGGAACCCUGAUGCAGCGACGCCGCGUGGGUGAAGGAGCGUUUCGGCGCGUAAAGCCCUAUCGGCAGGGAAGAAGGAGGACGGUACCUGACUAAGAAGCCCCGGCUCACUACGUGCCAGCAGCCGCGGUAAUACGUAGGGGGCAAGCGUUAUCCGGAUUUACUGGGUGUAAAGGGGGCGCAGACGGCAGCGCAAGCCAGGAGUGAAAGCCCGGGGCGCAACCCCGGGACUGGUCUUGGAACUGCGCGGCUGGAGUGCAGGAGGGGCAGGCGGAAUUCCUGGGGUAGCGGGGAAAUGCGUAGAUAUCAGGAGGAACACCAGUGGCGAAGGCGGCUUACUGGACUGUAACUGACGUUGAGGCUCGAAAGCGUGGGGAGCAAACAGGAUUAGAUACCCUAGUAGUC
rnacentral:rRNA from 1 species